rnacentral:rRNA from 1 species
AGCGAACGCUGGCGGCAGGCCUAACACAUGCAAGUCGAACGAACCUUCCGGGGUUAGUGGCGGUUGGGUGAGUAACACGUGGGAACGUUCAUUUAUGUGCGGAAUAACUCAGGGACACUUGUGCUAAUGCCGAAUGUGCCCUUCGGGGGAAAGAUAAAUCGCCCCUAGAGGGGCCCGUGUCUGAUUAGCAAGUUGGUUAAGGUAAGGGCGCACCUGGGCGAGGUUCAGUAGCUGGUCAGUGAGGAAGAUCAGCCACGUCGGGACUGGGACACGGCCCAAAAUCUUACGCGAGGGAGGAGUGGGGGAUCUUGCGAAAUGGGCGGAGGCAUGAAGCAGCCCGGCCGGGUGAAUGAUGAAGGUAUUAGGAUAGAAAAAUUCUUUCACCGGGGACGAUAAUGACGGUACCCGGAGAAGAAGCCCCGGCUAACUUCGUG